rnacentral:rRNA from 1 species
GAUGAACGCUGGCGGCGUGCCUAAUACAUGCAAGUCGAGCGGACGGACGCGGAGCUUGCGUGUUUGAUGUUAGCGGAGGACGGGUGAGUAACACGUGGAUCACCUACCUAUAUGUCGGGGAUCACUUCGGGAAACCGGAGCUAAUCCCGGAGAAUCUUUUGAACCGUGGGGGUCAAUGGUGAAAGACGGUCGUGUUGUAGCUUAUCGAUGGAUUGUCGCUGUAUCAGCUGGUUGGUAAGGUAACGGCUUACCAAGGGAAGGAUGGGUAGCCGCCCUGAGAGGGUGACCGGCGACAUUGGGACUGAGGUACGGCCCAGACACCUACGGGCGGCAGCAGGGGGGAAUAUUGCACAAUGGGCGGAAGGCUGGUGAAGCAACUCCGCGUGCGGGAUGACGGUCUUCGGGUUGUAAACCGCUUUCGCCUGUGACGAAGCGUGAGUGACGGUAAUGGGUAAAGAAGCACCGGCUAACUACGUG